GUUGCCUAAAUGUGGCAAUAGAAUAAUUUUUUUUUUCCAUUUCUAACUUGGAAGAGGAUUCUUCCAACAAUUUUUCAUUUAGGGAAUGCACCACACUCUCGAUGUGCGUACAGAGAAGAUGGCUGGCUGGCUGGAUCCAGGGUUUUAAUGUUUCCAGCAUGAAGGCAGGGACUCGCUGAGGUUACGUGAACCGGUCUCCAACCAUUGAUAUUGGCCCAUUUACUUAUUUCACAGGACAAGAGCAUGGGAACAACCAUCUCCUGGAAUGGCCCUUCCACAGGAAGAGAGGAGGACACAUGGCACAGAGGAAGGAUGGGGCACCUGGAUUCAAAAUCUGCUUACACCAUCCACGGAGCCUGGGAUGUUGAAGAAUUAGUUUUUUCUCUUGGAACUUGCUUUCCUUACUUGUAAAAUAAAGUUAAUCCUACAAAC
rnacentral:lncRNA from 10 species